CCCUACGGGAGGCAGCAGUCGAGGAUUUUUCUCAAUGGGGGAAACCCUGAAGGAGCGACGCCGCGUGGGGGAUGAAGGUCUUCGGAUUGUAAACCCCUGUCAUCUGGGAACAAAGCGCUCCACCUAACACGUGGAUUGUUGAUAGUACCGGAAGAGGAAGCCGUGGCUAACUCUGUGCCAGCAGCCGCGGUAAUACAGAGACGGCAAGCGUUGUUCGGAUUCAUUGGGCGUAAAGGGUGCGCAGGCGGCUCGUUAAGUCGGAUGUGAAAUCUCAUAGCUUAACUAUGAUAGGUCAUUCGAAACUAGCGGGCUCGAGGACUGGAGAGGAGACUGGAAUGGUCGGUGUAGCGGUGAAAUGCGUAGAGAUCGACCAGAACACCGGUGGCGAAGGCGGGUCUCUGGACAGUUCCUGACGCUCAGGCACGAAAGCCAGGGGAGCAAACGGGAUUAGAUACCCUGGUAGC
rnacentral:rRNA from 1 species